GCACGGAUGGCCGAGUGGUCUAAGGCGCUGCACUCAAGUUGCAGUAUCGUAAGAUUCUUGGGUUCGAAUCCCAAUUCGUGCA
rnacentral:tRNA from 2 species